UAGCGAUUUUUUUUUGUUCUGAAAGAAAAAGGGAUCCAGAUCAGGGAAAGACCAGGAACCAGGACCAGGAAGCAUAAGAGGAAUAGGUCACAGCUCCGCCACCCUGGCUUGUUUUUCCUGCUGGUCUCGAAGG